rnacentral:rRNA from 1 species
GUGACGUCAAGUCCUCAUGGCCUUUAUGCUUAGGGCUACACACGUGCUACAAUGGGUGGUACAAAGAGAAGCCAACUCGCGAGAGCGCGCCAAUCUCAAAAGCCAUCCUCAGUUCGGAUUGGAGUCUGCAACUCGACUCCAUGAAGUUGGAAUCGCUAGUAAUCGCGGAUCAGCAUGCCGCGGUGAAUACGUUCCCGGGCCUU